rnacentral:rRNA from 1 species
UACGGAGGGAGCUAGCGUUGUUCGGAAUUACUGGGCGUAAAGGGCGCGUAGGCGGCCCUCUAAGUCGGACGUGAAAUCCCUCGGCUCAACCGGGGAACUGCGUCCGAUACUGGAUGGCUUGAGUUCGGGAGAGGGAUGCGGAAUUCCAGGUGUAGCGGUGAAAUGCGUAGAUAUCUGGAGGAACACCGGUGGCGAAGGCGGCAUCCUGGACCGAUACUGACGCUGAGGAGCGAAAGCCAGGGGAGCAAACGGG